UUUGUCAAAUUUAUAUGAAUGAAGUUGGUAGUUAGAGAUUAUUACAAGGACUUUUCUUCUGUAGCUCUGUUGAGUAUUAAUUAUGGUUGUAUGUCACAGUUGAUCUUUAGUGUGAUAUAGGAGUAGUAGUGCUUAAUUGUUGUGGUUAACUAAUGUUUAAGAAAGUGUAAUUUGCUUUCUCAUUGCUAGAAGAUAACUAGAUAGGAAAAAAAAGUAACUGUAAACUUGGUUAUUAAUAUCUUUCAAUACAGAUUUGUUUGGAACUUCCCUCCAACAACCAUAGCCAUGAUAAAUGCAAUGACUGUAGGCUUCGGAUUUGCAUUUUUUUGGGUCUGAUUUGGUUGGAACUCAUAAAUAGAACAUUCUCUUUACAUACUCAUGACUUUUGAAUUCCUGCGUUUAUUAGUUUCCUAUACAUAUUUAAAAAGUUCCAGUUUGAAAUUCUCAUUCUUUAUGCUUAUUUUAUAAUUUGUAUUCCCUUAAAUUAUUUUUGUUUAAUACUAUCCUCUUAUCUUUAUUUUGAUUUUAGAUUAUACCUUAUUUUAUUUUAC
rnacentral:lncRNA from 1 species